GUCGCAUCUCUGCUCUUUUUCUCUCUUUCUCUCCGGAUUCCAAUCAGUCAUCUUAUUGCCGUGUUCUUAUUUUUUCUGCACCGUUUCUUUGCAUAUUUUAUAGGUUAGGUUUUAUUUACCAAUACCAGGCGAGGGUUAGUCUUUGUGAAUCAAAUAGGGUGCAAUAAGGUUCUUCUCACUAUGCUGAUUCUUUUUGCAAUAAGUUGAUUCGUCCACUUAUUCUAAAUAGUUAUAUUUGGGGUACCGGGAAGUUUGAGUAAGCAGAACGGGAAAAACAAGAUGACGGUCAUGCUGCUCUCGGAUUUUGAGCUUCUAAAUCAGUAUAUAUCUUCAUUGUGUCGAUUAAUUAAUAAGUUUGGGCUUGGUGCACAAAUUAAUUUGAGGGACAUUAUACAGAUCUACAGUUCUAAUCGGAUGAUGUGGCGCGAUACUUGCAGAGAGGUGCAAGAUGUUGUGAUGACGGUUUGGGAAGAAAUAAAGGAAGUGGUGGGCAGAGGGGAAGUAUAAAGUGGAAUGUAAUUGACUGGCUGUAAGAAUCAAUUUGAGUUACAUCUAGCGAAGAGGUAGUUUACACCAUGACAAAGAUUCAACAACACCAUGUGGCAAUUAGAGACUUUGAGAAGAAGCUUUUUGAGUUGCAGCUGGUAUCUUUUUGCUUUCUCCAUUAGAUCUAAGAAUCAUGGACAAUCAAGCAAUGGAACAAUGCAACUAUGAUGUAUUCUUCCGUUUCUGAAGGUUGGUUAGACUAUUUAUUAUUUGUAGGCUUUCACUAUGAACAUGACGGUGUUGGUAGAGAGUCACGGAUAUGUGAGCUGAACACCAGUAAAAAUGAGUUUUAUAACAACACGUGGAAUGUACAAACAACACUACAACUGAUAUCUGUUCCUAUAUACUUCUUUCGAAUACGUAGUAUAAUUGGUGUGGACUAUGUUCUGGGAAGUGGAAAACAGAUCUCUCCAGAUCCAUAUUCUUCUGCUAAUUAUUUACAUCAUAGUUCUGGCUGUGAUGAAGCUAUAGAUCAUUAUAAAUGAUUCACAAGUUUUUUAUAUUUCGCAGACGUGUAACAUAAUAUUUUCAAGAACGUUCCAAGUUUAUACCGUUUUUUCCUAUUA